CGCCAGCCGCGGACGUGGGAGAUGGACCAGUGCUGGUAACUAACAAGAUGCAUCAAAGAGAAUUCAAUUGUGUUACUCUGCUGAUUUUCCUUGCUUAAAUGUUGGAAAACCAAAAGGACCAUCAUAUGUGCCCCUUGAGUUUCACUGCAAAGAUAUACCAAAUCACUGUCAACAUUUCAACAAG